UGAACGCUAGCGGCAGGCCUAAUACAUGCAAGCCGAACGGCAACUUUUGUAGCAAUACGAGAGCUAGAGUGGCGUAAGGGUGCGUAACACGUAUGCAAUCUGCCCGCAACAGGAGUAUAGCUCCCCGAAAGGGGAAUUAAUCCUCCAUAGUACCAUUGGGAGGCAUCUUUUGGUGGUUAAACUUUAAGGGGUCGCGGAUGAGCAUGCGCAUGAUUAGCUAGUUGGUAGGGUAACGGCCUACCAAGGCGAUGAUCAUUAGGGGAACUGAGAGGUUGAUCCCCCACACUGGCACUGAGAUACGGGCCAGACUCCUACGGGAGGCAGCAGUAGGGAAUAUUGGUCAAUGGGUGAGAGCCUGAACCAGCCAUGCCGCGUGCAGGAAGACGGCCUUCUGGGUUGUAAACUGCUUUUACUUGGGGAUAAAAACACUGUGCGCAGUGGAUUGCAGGUACCAAGGGAAUAAGCCACGGCUAACUACGUGCCAGCA
rnacentral:rRNA from 1 species